rnacentral:tRNA from 1 species
GGGUUCGUAACUUAAUGGUAAAGUAGCUGGCUCUUACCCAGCAAAUGAGAGUUCGAUUCUCUCCGGACCUACCA